GGGGGCGUUUAUGGAUUCGACGGGGGUAGUUCGGGCAUGGGUAGCGGGUAGUGGGGACGCGUCCGCUUUACUAACGCUAAAGCCUAUUAAAUGGCAAACAACAAAACAACUACGCUUUCGCAGCCUAAGAAACUGUGAUGCGUGCUCUCGCUCAGCAUCGCCCAUGUGCCGGGAUGAGGGCCCAACCUAUAGUGGGAUACGCCGGCUAGUCUCCGCCUGGGGGUAGACGGAAGAAGACAAUCAGGCUGACCCGAAGGGAAUCCGGUUACGGGGAGUUCCUAGGGUGACAUUAAAUCCGUGACUACACCCGUAGAAGCCUAUGCUGCGUUAUCUUCGGACAGGGGUUCGACUCCCCUCGCCUCCAUAU
rfam:Saccharibacillus sacchari DSM 19268 genomic scaffold SacsacDRAFT_Scaffold1.1, whole genome shotgun sequence.